rnacentral:rRNA from 1 species
AAACUUUCAACAACGGAUCUCUUGGUUCUGGCAUCGAUGAAGAACGCAGCGAAAUGCGAUAAGUAAUGUGAAUUGCAGAAUUCAGUGAAUCAUCGAAUCUUUGAACGCACAUUGCGCCCGCCAGUAUUCUGGCGGGCAUGCCUGUUCGAGCGUCGUUU